rnacentral:rRNA from 1 species
GACGAACGCUGGCGGCAGGCUUAACACAUGCAAGUCGAACGCACCUUUCGGGGUGAGUGGCAGACGGGUGAGUAACGCGUGGGAAUCUACCCUUCUCUACGGGAUAGCUCCGGGAAACUGGAAUUAAUACCGUAUACGUCCUGAGGGAGAAAGAUUUAUCGGGGAAGGAUGAGCCCGCGUUGGAUUAGCUAGUUGGUGGGGUAAAGGCCUACCAAGGCGACGAUCCAUAGCUGGUCUAAGAGGAUGAUCAGCCACAUUGGGACUGAGACACGGCCCAAACUCCUACGGGAGGCAGCAGUGGGGAAUAUUGGACAAUGGGCGCAAGCCUGAUCCAGCCAUGCCGCGUGAGUGAUGAAGGCCCUAGGGUUGUAAAGCUCUUUCAGUGGGGACGAUAAUGACGGUACCCACAGAAGAAGCCCCGGCUAACUUCGUG